CAAAUGAAAUAAAAUAAAAGGGAAGUCCCGAGGGGGUCACCCUACCCCUUCUUGUUUUAAAACUUGUCAAUGGUCAACAUCACCACCCCUAAACCAUAUAUAUUCUUGUAUGGGACAAAAAAUCAAAUCAAAUGAAUAUGGGACCAUAUGAAUGGCUAGUUAUGGGAGUUUUGUUUGGGAGACUUCGUAACAGCAUCCUUUUACAAUUACUUCUUGUUUGAUUUGUAAUGUUUAGAGAGUCGAAGAUACCAAAGACUGAGGCAUUUAAACUCAUAUAAGUAGAAAAUAAACUGACAACACAAAAAGCAAACAGUCAAACAAUAGUACACACAAUACAACGUAGAAAACUAAACACUGAGCAACACGAACCCCACCAAAAACUGGGCUGGGCGAUUAAACUUUAAAAAAGCCAUAUUAUUCAAAGGAUGUUAGACAACAAAAAAUAUUGUACAUGCUAUGCGAC
rnacentral:lncRNA from 1 species